rnacentral:rRNA from 1 species
UGAUCGGUACGGGUUGUGAGAGCAAGAGCCCGGAGAUGGAUUCUGAGACACGAAUCCAGGCCCUACGGGGCGCAGCAGGCGCGAAAACUUUACAAUGCGAGAAAUCGUGAUAAGGGAACCCCGAGUGCCCGUAAAUUCGGGCUGUCCGCCAGUGUAAAUAACUGGUGAAGAAAGGGCCGGGCAAGACCGGUGCCAGCCGCCGCGGUAAUACCGGCGGCUCGAGUGGUGGCCACUAUUACUGGGCUUAAAGCGUCCGUAGCUGGAUUGUUAAGUCUCUUGGGAAAUCCACCGGCUCAACCGAUGGGCGUUCAGGAGAAACUGGCAAUCUAGGGACCGGGAGAGGUGAGAGGUACUCCAGGGGUAGGAGUGAAAUCCUGUAAUCCUUGGGGGACCACCUGUGGCGAAGGCGUCUCACUAGAACGGCUCCGACAGUGAGGGACGAAAGCUGGGGGAGCAAACCGGAUUAGAUACCCGGGUAGUCCCAGCUGUAAACGAUGCGCGUUAGGUGUAUCGGUGACCACGAGUCAUCGAGGUGCCGAAGGGAAACCGUGAAACGU